rnacentral:lncRNA from 1 species
CAUAGAUUGAUUUUAGGACUUAUAAGGUUUAAUAACUUAUUGGUUGUGGAUUCCCCUCCAAUAUCAAUGACUUCAGUAGCACUCAGUGGCAAGACUUCUGUAUUAUGAAACCGAAGAUAAAGAUAUAAUCACAGCUCAGCUACACUUGUUAAUGAGCUACCUUGGACUAGAAAUGAUAUCAGCGGCAUUGCUAUUAACAAGUUAAAUAACACCACGUGCAUUACUUACAACACAGUGUUCUUGAAGGUCACUGAGAAGCAGUGAUGAGCACAGUGAUUGCACCAUGUGAUAUGUGAGCAUCAGCUGUGGGAGUCAGGGAAACAUUGGAUGAGUUGCAUGGAGGAUGAGAUUCUUCUACAUACCAAGGAGCUGUGUGACUCUAGAAACUAAGUUCAAGAGAAUCUGAUACACAGAAAAGGGCAGGGAUGUGGCUUUGGGUAAGAAAAUAUUGAGGGAUACCAGUGUGUUACUUCCAGGGCAGGAUACAUAAAAUAUUCAACUGUAUGCCAAGAAGGUUGAGAUUCACAUGCAGCAAUUGAGUAGCAUAUUUCUAUGUCUCCAUGAACAUGUCACCAUGGAGUGAGGUGUAACACUGAAAACAUCCAAAAGUCAUCUUUCAUGGAUAUCGGCAGCAAUGUAGAGAAUGGCUUGGAGGUAAUGCCUUUUCUGUCAAAAAGACCACUGACAUACAACAUCAAAGUAACACACUUUAUGAAUAAUAAAUAAGCAAUCACAGAGCACCAAAUUCGAUUUUAAAAAAUGAAGCCAAGGAUGCAAAUGAUGUAACUGCAAUUCUUAUCACCUAUUUAUGUGCAUUAAUGCAUAGAAACCGACACUCUUUAUACCCUAGUGAACCCAUGCUUGUCAGUAGGGGCAAUGGAUGUAUCAGUUCUGAGAUAUAACCACUGCAUCAUAUUCAAAGCCCCGUUGCUCUACAGGCUCACUGACUUUGUCCACAUAGCAGUUGUUCAUUCUUUUUACAGGGGCCUCAGCCGCCAUUAUGUUUUCAAAAGCUUACAGAGAAUAAUUGCUGCCAUAAGAAAGACGACUGAAAUUGACAAUAAACUGAAUUUGGCUGCAAGUACAUUGUAAUUCUGUUCUAUAUUGGUAAGUUGCACUGCUGGGACAAGUGUUUGUUUAAAACCAAAACACCAGACAAAGCCCCGACUUUAAUGGAAAU